rnacentral:rRNA from 1 species
UGGGGAAUUUUGGACAAUGGGCGAAAGCCUGAUCCAGCAAUGCCGCGUGAGUGAAGAAGGCCUUCGGGUUGUAAAGCUCUUUUGUCAGGGAAGAAACGGUGAGGGCUAAUAUCCCUUGCUAAUGACGGUACCUGAAGAAUAAGCACCGGCUAACUACGUGCCAGCAGCCGCGGUAAUACGUAGGGUGCAAGUGUUAAUCGGAAUUACUGGGCGUAAAGCGUGCGCAGGCGGUUUUGUAAGUCUGAUGUGAAAUCCCCGGGCUCAACCUGGGAAUUGCAUUGGAGACUGCAAGGCUAGAAUCUGGCAGAGGGGGGUAGAAUUCCACGUGUAGCAGUGAAAUGCGUAGAUAUGUGGAGGAACACCGAUGGCGAAGGCAGCCCCCUGGGUCAAGAUUGACGCUCAUGCACGAAAGCGUGGGGAGCAAACA